UGGGAAGUGCUUUGAAGCUUCUCGGUCC
rnacentral:piRNA from 1 species